rnacentral:rRNA from 1 species
GACGAACGCUGGCGGCGUGCUUAACACAUGCAAGUCGAACGUGAUUUUUGUGGAAAUUCUUUCGGGAAUGGAAAUGAAAUGAAAGUGGCGAACGGGUGAGUAACACGUGAGCAACCUACCUUACAUAGGGGGAUAGCCGUUGGAAACGACGAUUAAUACCGCAUGAGACCACAGAAUCGCAUGAUAUAGGGGUCAAAGAUUUAUCGGUGUAAGAAGGGCUCGCGUCUGAUUAGCUAGUUGGAAGGGUAAAGGCCUACCAAGGCGACGAUCAGUAGCCGGUCUGAGAGGAUGAACGGCCACAUUGGAACUGAGACACGGUCCAAACUCCUACGGGAGGCAGCAGUGGGGAAUACUGCACAAUGGGGGGAACCCUGAUGCAGCGACGCCGCGUGAGCGAAGAAGGUUUUCGAAUCGUAAAGCUCUGUCCUAUGAGAAGAUAAUGACGGUAUCAUAGGAGGAAGCCCCGGCUAAAUACGUG